rnacentral:rRNA from 1 species
GAUGAACGCUGGCGGCGUGCCUAAUACAUGCAAGUCGAGCGAACGGACGAGAAGCUUGCUUUUCUGAUGAUAGCGGCGGACGGGUGUGUCACACGUGGAUACCCUACCUAUCAUACUGGGAUCACUUCGGGAAACCGGCGCUAACCCCAUAUAAUAUUUUGCACCGCAUGGUUCAAAGGUGAGAGACGGUCUUGCUGUCACUUAUAGCUGGAUCCGCGCUGCAUUAGCUAGUUGGUAGGGUAACGGCUUACUACGGCAACGAUGCGUAGCCGACGUGAGAGAGUGAUCGGCCGCCCGGGAGCUGGGCCACGGUCCAGGCGCCUACGGGAGGGAGCAGUAGGGAAUCUGCCGCAAUGGGGGGAAGCCUGACGGAGCAAGGGGGCGUGAGUGAUGAAGGUCUUCGGAGCGGAAAACUCUGUUAUUAGGGAAGAACAGAUGUGUAAGGAACUGUGGACAUCUUGACGGUAACUAGUAAGAAAGCAACGGCUAACUACGUG